rnacentral:rRNA from 1 species
GACAGAGGAUGCAAGCGUUAUCCGGAAUGAUUGGGCGUAAAGCGUCUGUAGGUGGCUUUUCAAGUCCGCCGUCAAAUCCCAGGGCUCAACCCUGGACAGGCGGUGGAAACUACCAAGCUGGAGUACGGUAGGGGCAGAGGGAAUUUCCGGUGGAGCGGUGAAAUGCGUAGAUAUUGGGAGGAACACCAGUGGCGAAGGCGGCUCACUGGACCGGUUCUGACGCUGAGGCGCGAAAGCGUGGGGAGCAAACGGG